AUGAAGCCAGCUUGGGGCAAUCCGAAAGGACUGCUAUUCCACCCUGCGGGGGACAAUCUGUUCGUUGCAGAAUUUGGUACAAGAGAGGACCGUGUGCGUGUGAUGGAAAACUCACCAUGGGUGGUCGGCAAGCACGCCGUCCUGCUCAGGAAUUACAAUGCGGACAUCCAGCCGAUGCAGGUUAAUUUUGACCGGCUGACCAUAUGGGCCAGGAUUAUGGCAUUCCCACCAAGGCUGAUGAACUCAAAGUUGGGCACGGAGGUUGCCAAGCCAAUCGGAACAAUUCUCCGGGUGGAAGCUGACUCAGGAGGGCGCUGCUGGGGAGCCUUUAUGCGUGUCAGAGCAGAAAUUGCGGUGCAGGAACCUUUGGUGCGCUAUGUGACGGUGACCUCAGCUAAGCUCAAGACCACUGAAACUUAUUCCGUGAUGUAUGAGCGCCUCCCUCUCUAUUGCUUUUCCUGUGGGCUUCUCGGACACUCCUCAAUCUUGUGCCCUACCCCGGCGGAACGCGAUGCUAAUGACGAUUUGCCCUAUGCGGCGAAGAAACUAUGCGCUAUCGUUGACCAGCUACGAAGGUCAAACGGCACAAAGUCAGGCAAUGCCUCGUCGUCUGCUGACUAUGAUUCCCAACCCCCUAGUCACAAGGUUCCUUCUGGGGGCUCCCGGUCAUCUGCUGCUGGAAGUAGGGCGCCGAACUUCGGCAUGGCUGCUGCUGGAGAUGUGGAUGGGGAGGUUUCCUCCCCCAUCAAAGGUGGUCGGAUGACCAGCCAGGGCAGGGACGCUCCAAUCGCAGACGCGGAAGAGGUCGUUCUGCUGGCACUGGAAAAGAACGGUUUCCUGCUCAGAAAUCCAAGAAUGGGAUGA
rnacentral:rRNA from 1 species